UUUCUUUUUUUUGCCAGUUUUCCCUCUCUGUAGCUAUGAGACUACAAACUUCCUUCUAUUACUUUAAAUGAGAGCUGAACUUGUCACGUAAUUACUUGCCUCCUGGAGCUGAGGCUUCAAGACAAAGUCAAGGCACUUCUGAAAGAAAACAGGUGAAGAAUGACGAUAUUCUCAUAUCCAAAAGACUGAACUCCCCAUGGCAUGUUUCGAACAAAGCUGAUGCAGAGAUCAGCACUGCCUUGGGGUGAGCUAGGAGCAUCCCAUUUCCCCCGGAGAGACAGCAGGUCCUGCCGGCUGCACAACAGCCUGAUUUCCAGUGCCAGGGAACCCACCCAAAGCUGGAUUGUUCAGCAAGUCAGUGGAAGAAUGCACGUGCCUCAGAAAUUGGAGAGAGUGGUCUGAAUCUACAGGGAGCAGCCAUUAGGUGAAGAAACAGCACAUUCAGUUAUUAC
rnacentral:lncRNA from 1 species